AUGAUGCUUGUGAAAGUGCUGCACUCAAUAUGCCAGCAAGUUUGGAAAACUCAGCAGUGGCCACAGGACUGGAAAAGGUCAGUUUUCAUUCCAAUUCCAAAGAAAGGCAAUGCCAAAGAAUGCUCAAACUACCACACAAUUGCCCUCAUCUCACAUGCCAGUAAAGUAAUGCUCAAAAUUCUCCAAGCCAGGCUUCAGCAAUACAUGAACCAGGAACUUACUGAUGUUCAAGCUGGUUUUAGAAAAGGGAGAGGAACCAGAGAUCAAAUUGCCAACAUCUGCUGGAUCAUGGAAAAAGCAAGAGAGUUCCAGAAAAACAUCUAUUUCUGCUUUAUUGACUAUGCCAAAGCCUUUGACUGUGUGGAUCAUAAUAAACUGUGGAAAAUUCUGAAAGAGAUGGGAAUACCAGACCACCUGACCUGCCUCUUGAGAAACCUGUAUGCAGGUCAGGAAGCAACAGUUAGAACUGGACAUGGAAAAACAGACUGGUACCAAAUAGGAAAAGGAGUACAUCAAGGCUGUAUAUUGUCACCCUGCUUAUUUAACUUAUAUGCAGAGUACAUCAUGAGAAGCGCUGGGCUGGAAGAAGCACAAGCUGGAAUCAAGAUUGCCGGGAGAAAAAUCAGUAACCUCAGAUAUGCAGAUGACACCACCCUUAUGGCAGAAAGUGAAGAGGAGCUAAAAAGCCUCUUGAUGAAAGGGAAAGAGGAGAGUGAAAAAGUUGGUUUAAAGCUCAACAUUCAGAAAACGAAGAUCAUGGCAUCUGGUCCCAUCACUUCAUGGGAGAUAGAUGGGGAAGCAGUAGAAACAGUGUCAGACUUUAUUUUUGCGGGCUCCAAAAUCACUGCAGAUGGUGACUGCAGCCAUGAAAUUAAAAGAUGCUUACUCUUUGGAAGAAAAGUUAUGACCAACCUAGAUAGUAUAUUCAAAAGCAGAGAAAUUACUUUGCCGACUAAGGUCUGCCUAGUCAAGGCUAUGGUUUUUCCUGUGGUCAUGUAUGGAUGUGAGAGCUGGACUGUGAAGAAGGCUGAGCACAGAAGAAUUGAUGCUUUUGAACUGUGGUGUUGGAGAAGACUCUUGAGGGUCCCUUGGACUGCAAGGAGAUCCAACCAGUCCAUUCUGAAGGAGAUCAACCCUGGGAUUUCUUUGGAAGGAAUGAUGCUAAAGCUGAGACUCCAGUACUUUGGCCACCUCAUGUGA
rnacentral:lncRNA from 1 species